UACGUAUGGUGCAAGCGUUAUCCGGAUUUACUGGGUGUAAAGGGAGCGCAGGCGGCACGGCAAGCCUGAUGUGAAAGCCCGCGGCCCAACCGCGGGACUGCAUUGGGAACUACCGGGCUGGAGUGCCGGAGAGGUAGGCGGAAUUCCUAGUGUAGCGGUGAAAUGCGUAGAUAUUAGGAGGAACACCAGUGGCGAAGGCGGCCUGCUGGACGACAACUGACGGUGAGGCGCGAAAGCGUGGGGAGCAAACAGG
rnacentral:rRNA from 1 species